GCCGCGCCGGCGAGAUGGGCCUGCGUCCUCCCUGAGAGGCGGGCUGCAACAGGUGAAGCCCUUUCCGCCCUGGAGCAGGAGCCCCGAUGCGUGCUUAUAACAGGGUCUUGAGCUACACGAGUGAGGCGCGCUCCAGGAUGUGUUGGUGUUGAGUUUUGUGGGGAGUUUCAUUUUCCUUCUAUUAGCGGUGGUACGCUAAAGGCCGUCAUCCCGGUGCCAGCAGCCGGUUGGCUCUGCAGAUGUCAGGGCUUGGAAGCGCUACGGGAGAGCCCAGGCUCGGGGCAGGGCGGCACGGACCCGCAAUGUGUCAUUUGGACGCGAUGAAGGCACCGUGUUUGCCCAGGUCACUGCUUUCUGGAAGAAGCAGUCAACACCUUUGUCAUUGAGUCAUGCCAGCUCUUGCAAGCAAUGCUGAACAAACCACUUUUUUAUAUACCAUUGGAUAUUGAUCCAGUGAUCAAUAUGACCUGCUGAUUAGUAGAAUAUUGAGUAACUGGCAGCCAGAAACAGAGCAGUAAAUGCAGGAUCCUAACUGAGCAAGUAUAUGCAUAUUUGGAUUAUUUUAGGAAUUAUUUUUUGCUAUGUGUUAUUUAAUGCUUGUUUUAAAUUACAUCAGCAUUGUACAAAAUUAUUAAUGAUACUCAUAGAUGACCCUAAGGAUUGAAGAUAUAAUAAACAACAAAGAUAAGUCAUUAAUACAGACCAGAUGGCUUUAAUAAGUUGGAUGCAAACAGACAAGUGUUUUGUGGAUAACUAUUAAAGUAAAAUAAUUGUGAACAGAGAAAGCAUGUCCUUUUUACUCUUGUAUUUAUGACCUUUACAUUUAGUCUACACAUCAAAUUCUAGAUCUUCAGAACAGAGAAAUCACCCAAAUAUGGAACCACUGAAGGCCAGUUGAACAAGUUGUUCUAAAAGUAGAAUUAUCUAGUCAACAGCCUUUUGUUUUAGGUGAAUCUAAGCCUCUAAUUUGUUGUCCUGGGUUUCCAUGUAUAUUUUGGCUCUGAUCGUCUCUAGAGUGUUCUGUUAUAUUACUUGCUUAUGCAAUAUCUCAGAGUAAUGCUAAAACAUCCCCAUGCUAUAAAUUGACUCUACUUUUAAAAUUUGAGCCAGUAUUUUAAAAUAUGCCUUAUACCUUAGAUUCAUCACUGCUGUUACCUUUUCUCUGUCUAGCAUAAUCUUUUCACAUGUACUGCUGUAACAAAAAAGGGAAUAAAACCAUGUCUGCAGACAAUUCCCUUAGUCUAAUCAUCAGUCAUGUUAUUGCAAAGCUAAUGCUGCUGUUGCCUUUCUAUCUUGAGAAACUUAUGUUUUGCUGGACCUAAGAAGAACUGACGAUGCUGGUUUUCUACCUUUUUUUUUCUGUUCACAACUUAUGAUUUGGGAAUUUGGAAGGAGGAAUGAAGAGAUGCAGAGAGAUUUGUCAAGAGAGGUGACAAUGAAUGGACUCUUAAAUAUGGUACUUUGGUCAAAAUGCCUUGUGUAAAUCUUGGCUAUGCUAAAAGAAAUUCCUGGGGAUUGCAUAGACAAUACUGGUUAUAUGUUUGCACUGAAAAUUUCUUUUUAAUUUGCUUUUUGCAGUUUAGAAUUCAAGAAUACUUAGUAUUAAGGAAAGGUUGAGAGAAAAGCCAGAAAAGUCAUUGAUUCAUGUGGCAUGAUACAAGGAAGCUUUUCCUCUUUAUCAGGCAAAACUAUGUAUAGACUGCAGUUCAAAAGUAUUUGCCAUGAAAUGAUACCUGGCUUUUCCAUCUGGUUGACAGACAUAAAAGGAUCUGAUUGCUGAAUGUUGGAAGCUGAACAAAAUCAGAUUGGGACUGACUGGUAUGAUUUUGCCUAAAUACAGAUCGUUUAACUACUGAAACAGUUUAAAGUAAAUUAUGAUGGGCUUUCCAUCUCUAGUUUUAACUUCAAGAGAUACCUGUCUUAAAAUAGGUAUUGUAGCUCAACUCAGCAAUAGUUCAUGACAGCACAGAGACUUCUCUGACAAAACAGGUCAGCCCAGUGGAUGGUCAAAGUGGAUGUUCUAGUUUUAUCUUUGAUGGGGAGCAAAGUUGUUUUGGUUCUUCCUUCAGCUCUCCUGUGGAUUUACUUCAUAUUCCAUUUUUUUUGUCUGUGGAGGCUACCAUUUGUACUGGAACUUAAGGGCAGCUGCAGCUGUUUAAGAAAGGAUAUGUCCUUUCUUAAGUUGUAAAUGAUGUAGUGUGGCAAGGGAUCCAGACUGCCUGAGAAUCCAUUCUAACGAUGUUCACGGAAGAGAGCCAGCCACACAUGGAAUUGUAGCACUCUUGUUCUGCUUAUUCCAGUUUCUCAACAAUAGUCUUCUGCAUUAAUAGUUUAUCUGGUGAUUCUGGAUCACUACAUGUCUGUAGUCAUGUACAGAAAGUGGAAUCCCAUUCUGGAUUAACAGUUUAAGAUCCUUUAUUAAGUCAUAUGUGCUCAUAUGAUUUUAAAUGCAACAAGGGUAUGUCCAUAUUGACACUUGUUUUUUUAGCUUAUCCAAAACUUCCAACUUGUAUUCUGUCUUUUGUUUGUGAAGUGGUAUUUCGUUCUUCAAAAGAAAAAUGCAGAAGUAAUUAGCAAGAUUACCUUAUCAUUAUUUACACACCAAGUCGGUUCCUCUUUCUGCACAGAAAACUAAAAUGGUAUCCUUCCUUGGCUGAAAACUUCCUUUCUGCAAGCAAUAAAAGACAC
ensembl:lncRNA